UACCGAGGUCCCAAGCGUUGUUCGGAUUCAUUGGGCGUAAAGGGUGCGUAGGCGGCGCGGUAAGUCGGGUGUGAAAUCUCGGGGCUUAACUCCGAAACUGCAUUCGAUACUGCCGUGCUUGAGGACUGGAGAGGAGACUGGAAUUUACGGUGUAGCGGUGAAAUGCGUAGAUAUCGUAAGGAAGACCAGUGGCGAAGGCGGGUCUCUGGACAGUUCCUGACGCUGAGGCACGAAGGCCAGGGGAGCAAACGGG
rnacentral:rRNA from 1 species